rnacentral:tRNA from 1 species
GUGCGCGUAGUUUAAUUAAAACAUUAGAUUGUGAUUCUGACAACAGGGGUUAAAAUCCCCUUGCCCACC